AACCAGCCAGCCAGUAAAGCGUUCGUAUUUCGGCAUUAUUGUGAAGAAUACAUCUAUCUCCUCAUCGAGUUACGUCGCAUGUGAAAGACAGUUUAGCAAACAGUAUCGUGUCGGUAGUUGUCGCGAGCGCUUGCUUCUAUUACCUAUACAUUUACCUAUCGAAGAUUAUUAGCAGAGCGCUGUGUGUUCUCCAUCACAGCGACGACAAGUGUUUGUGGUGUUCCAUCCUAGAAUUAGUGCAGUGUAGUUGUAGUCUUUAGUAUCUUUGAGGUAGAUCACAACACAACACAACAUUUGUAAAGAAAA